CAAUAGCUAGGCAGAAAAGGUACAGCAAAUAAACGAAAAGCAGAACCAUGAGUCUGAUGGCGAAAGAGGGGAAGCAGUUUGCUUUUCUGAUAGCAAUUUCAUGAGUCAGCUGACCUAAGAUACAUACUUCAAUUCUCAUGGGAUUUCUUGAGCUAGGAAAGGUGGUUGGCUUACGGCACAGUAGAGAGCUUCCAGGGCUGGCUGGCGUGGGAUACCCGUACCACAGAAAUGCAGGGACCAUUGCUUCUUCCAGGCCUCUGCUUUCUGCUGAGCCUCUUUGGAGCUGUGACUCAGAAAACCAAAACUUCCUGUGCUAAGUGCCCCCCAAAUGCUUCCUGUGUCAAUAACACUCACUGCACCUGCAACCAUGGAUAUACUUCUGGAUCUGGGCAGAAACUAUUCACAUUCCCCUUGGAGACAUGUAACGCCAGGCAUGGUGGCUCGCGCCUGUAAUCCCAGUUCUUUGGGAAGCCAAGGCAGGUGGAUCACCUGAGGUCAGGAGUUUGAGACCAGCCUGGCCAACAUAGUGAAACCCCG
rnacentral:lncRNA from 1 species